rnacentral:rRNA from 1 species
AUUGAACGCUGGCGGCAUGCUUUACACAUGCAAGUCGAACGGUAACAGGCCGCAAGGUGCUGACGAGUGGCGAACGGGUGAGUAAUGCAUCGGAACGUGCCCAGUCGUGGGGGAUAACGCAGCGAAAGCUGCGCUAAUACCGCAUACGAUCUAUGGAUGAAAGCGGGGGACCGUAAGGCCUCGCGCGAUUGGAGCGGCCGAUGUCAGAUUAGGUAGUUGGUGGGGUAAAGGCGCACCAAGCCAACGAUCUGUAGCUGGUCUGAGAGGACGACCAGCCACACUGGGACUGGGACACGGCCCAGACGCCUACGGGAGGCAGCAGUGGGGAAUUUUGGACAAUGGGCGCAAGCCUGAUCCAGCAAUGCCGCGUGCAGGAAGAAGGCCUUCGGGUUGUAAACUGCUUUUGUACGGAACGAAACGGCUCUGGUUAAUACCUGGGGCUAAUGACGGUACCGUAAGAAUAAGCACCGGCUAACUACGUGCCAGCCGCCGCCGUAAGAC